rnacentral:lncRNA from 1 species
UCUUCCAGGGGUGCUGUGAUCUACAGCAACAAUGUCAGCCCUGAGGAUGGGCGGUCUCCAGGAGUCCUUGGCAGCAGCCUACUGUGGCCCCCAGCUUUCAUUGAUAUUCCACACCCAGUUACCAAAAAAUUCUAGCCAAGAGUGGGCCAAGGCAUGGGCACUCAAGGCUGGCAACCUGAAUUUGAUUGCCUGAACCUGCGUAAAGGAUGUUCCCAACUUGAGAAGAGCUUUGCUGAGAGAGCCAGGCGGGUGAGUGACAGCUCUAAGACUGGUCCAGACAAGGCACUUCCCACUGUUGGGGGCUCCUGGAAGAUUUUUGGGGAGAACACAGUGUGUGGUGAGACAAGCAAGGCCUGCUGCUUUCAUCAAAACCAUCAGUGACAUCUUGUGUUUUCCUUUCAGGCCUUUAUUUCCUCCAGCA